CUCUGCUUAUAAACAUGUCCCUCUCACCUGUCUGGGGAACUGGACACAGUCAUUUUUAGGAACUGUGAAAUGGAAUUGAGUAGAUUUGCAGGUCAACUUGGCAGCUGCCAAGUGCCCAAAGCGGAUCUUUGGAAAUAAAGAACCUCGGCCGCAGCGGAAAAGAAAUGGAAGCCUGCUGGUUUUCACCUCUGUGGAAGACACCACACCUGUAAAACUAUAUACAAAAAGAACAAUUAUCAGGAUCAUCUUUCCAACCACUUUUCGGUGGGACACAUGACAACCCCGAGUGACUUAAACUCCCUUGCAGCUAGAUGUGGCCAUGUGACUCGAGUUCUAGCCUCUAGGCAUCAAUGGACGGGUCAUGUGACAGCUGGACCUGUCUAUCGGAGACAAGAGUCUCAGCCACCAGCCUUUUGACAGAUGAGUCCCCACAGCAAGGCCCAGAAUCGCUACUCAUCACAUCUUGGGGCCAUAGGAACCAAAGGUAGAGUUUGAAGUGAGAGACCACCAAGGA